UGAUGAUGAUGAUGAUGAUGAUGAUGAUGAUGAUGAUGAUGAUCAUGAUGAUGAUCAUGAUGAUGAUCAUGAUGAUGAUCAUGAUGAUGAUCAUGAUGAUGAUCAUGAUCAUGAUCAUCAUCAUCAUCAUCAUCAUGAUCAUCAUGAUCAUCAUGAUCAUCAUCAUCAUCAUCAUCAUCAUCAUCAUCAUCA